rnacentral:rRNA from 1 species
CUUGGUCAUUUAGAGGAAGUAAAAGUCGUAACAAGGUCUCCGUUGGUGAACCAGCGGAGGGAUCAUUAAAGAGUUGCAAAACUCCCUUUAAACCAUCGCGAACGUUACCCACGACGCCGUUGCCUCGGCGGAGCGUCGCCCCGUGCCGUCAAAAGCACGGGGCGGCGCCCGCCGGGAGACCGGCACAACCAAACUCUUAUAACCAUUGGCCUCUCUGAGUAAGAUUUUUAAAUAAGUCAAAACUUUCAACAACGGAUCUCUUGGUUCUGGCAUCGAUGAAGAACGCAGCGAAAUGCGAUAAGUAAUGUGAAUUGCAGAAUUCAGUGAAUCAUCGAGUCUUUGAACGCACAUUGCGCCCGCCAGUAUUCUGGCGGGCAUGCCUGUUCGAGCGUCAUUUCAACCAUCAAGCCCUGCUUGUGUUGGGGUCCUGCGGCUGCCCGCAGGCCCUGAAAACCAGUGGCGGGCUCGCUAGUCACACCGAGCGCAGUAGCACAUCUCGCUUUGGUCGUGCGGCGGGUUCUUGCCGUAAAACACCCCCCUUUUAUCAAGGUUGACCUCGGAUCAGGUAGGAAUACCCGCUGAACUUAAGCAUAUCAAUAAGCGGAGGA